CCUCUGCUGCACACCUGGAGAUAUGUUCCACUUUCUCCCAGAGCUCUCAUAAAAAGAUAAGUGAUCAGAGUAACACCAGGCUGGCUGUACUGAUGGCAACUGCCUUGGUCAUGCCAUGGGCAUGGCACAGCAGGCACAGGGUUGGCAGUUCCCUGUGUCUCAUAGGCACUGGUGAUCUAGCCAAUAAUGGGAGGUCAAAUGAAGUGCUGAACCGCUUUGCCAGCACUGGCCAAAGUAGAGCAGGAUGGUGAGCAGAGUCAGAGCCAGAGGCCCAGAGGAGAACAUUCCCAUGAAUGCCUCCUGUCCUCUGCUGCUCACCGGGAGACAUGUUCCACGAUAAACAAGGACACAGAUACAAAGAUAAGUGAUCAGAAAAACACCAGACUGGUUGUACUUCUGGGCAUCAGCUGCUGGCACCUUCCUUGGUCAUGGCAUGGGCAUGGCACAGCAGGAACAAUGUUGGCAGUUCAUUGUGUCAAACAGGCACUGGUGCCAUGGCCAGCACUGGGAGGUCUCAUGAAGUGCUAACCACGGUGCCCGCACAGGCCAGAGUAGAGCAGGAUUAUGAGCAGAGUCAGAGCCAGAGGCCCAGAGGAGAACAUGCCCAGACCAUGAGUGCCUCCUGUCCUCUGCUGCUCACCUGGAGACAUGUUCCACGUUCUCCAAGAGCUCUUAUAAAAAGAUAAGUGAUCAGAGUAACUCCAGGCUGGCUGUACUUCAGGGUAUCACGCUGACAACAGCCUCGUUGACACCAUGGGCAGGGCACAGCAGGCACAGUGUUGGCAGUUCCCUGUGUCACACACGCAUUGGAGACAUGAUGGCCGUAGGGACGUAAUAAAAAGAGCUUCUCGCUGCUGCGAGCCCAGGCCAGAAAAAACAGGAUGGUGAGCAGAGUCAGAGGUAAGAGGCCAGGAGAGAUGGCAUGGAAGGGAAUGUCUAAGACCUGGGAAGGGCGGCAGGCGUGUGUCUGAUGCUCCAGACUGUGUGUCCUGUUGCUUUGUCUUGGACAGCCAGAGGCCCAGAGGAGAACAUGCCCAGACCAUGAGUGCCUCCUGUCCUCUGCUGCUCACCUGGAGACGUCUUCCACUUUCUCCAAAAGCUCUCAUAAAAAGAUAAGUGAUCAGAGUAACACCAGGCUGGCUGUACUUCUGGGCAUCAGCUCAUGGCAACGGCCAUAGUUGUGUCAUGGGCAUGGCACAGUGGAACAAUGUUGGCAGUUCAUUGUGUCAAACAGGCAUUGGUGCCAUGGCCAGCCAAUAAUGGGAGGUCACAUGAAGUGCUGAACCCAUUUGCCUGCAAAGGCCAGAGGAGAGCAGGAUAGUGAGCAGAUUCAGAGGUAAGAGGGCAGAGAGAUGGCAUGGAAAAUGGGAUGGUCUGGGACCUGCCCAUGGAGGCAGAGAGAGCUGUGAUGCUAGAGAUUGUGUGUCCUCUGUCUUGGACGGCCAGAGGCCCAGAGGAGAACAUGCCCAGACCAUGAGUGCCUCCUGUCCUCUGCUGCUCACCUGGAGACAUGUUCCACCUUACACAAGGACACUGAUCCAAAGAUAAGUGAUCAGACAAAACCACCAGGCUGGCUGUACUGGGCAUCAGCUGCUGGUAACUGCCUUGGUGAUGCCAUGGGCAUGGCACAGCAGGCACGAUAUUUGCAGAUCUUUGUGUCAAACACGCACUGGUGUCAUGACCAAUACUGGGAGGUCAACAUGAAGUGCUGAACCGUUGUGCCAGCACAGGCCAGAGGAGAUCAGGAUGGUGAGCAGAGUCAGUUGUAAGAGUCCAGAGACAUGGCAUGGAAGGGAAGGUCUGGGACCUGGCCAAGGUGUAAGAGAUAGCUGUGAUGCUGCAGAUUGUGUGUCCACCUGCUUUGUCUUGGACAGCCAGAGGCCCAGAGGAGAACAUGCCCAGACCAUGAGUGCCUCCUGUCCUCUGCUGCACACCUGGAGAUAUGUUCCACUUUCUCCCAGAGCUCUCAUAAAAAGAUAAGUGAUCAGAGUAACACCAGGCUGGCUGUACUGAUGGCAACUGCCUUGGUCAUGCCAUGGGCAUGGCACAGCAGGCACAGGGUUGGCAGUUCCCUGUGUCUCAUAGGCACUGGUGAUCUAGCCAAUAUUGGGAGGUCACAUGAAGUGCUGAACCCAUUUGCCUGCAAAGGCCAGAGGAGAGCAGGAUGGUGAGCAGAGUCAGAGGUAAGAGGGCAGAGAGUUGGCAUGGAAAAUGGGAUGGUCUUGGAACUGGCCAAGGCGGAAGAGAUAGCUCUGAUGUGAUAGCUGUGAUGUUACUGACUGUGUGUCCUCUUGCUUUGUCUUGGACAGCCAGAGGCCCAGAGGAGAACAUUCCCAUGAAUGCCUCCUGUCCUCUGCUGCUCACCGGGAGACAUGUUCCACGAUAAACAAGGACACAGAUACAAAGAUAAGUGAUCAGAAAAACACCAGACUGGUUGUACUUCUGGGCAUCAGCUGCUGGCACCUUCCUUGGUCAUGGCAUGGGCAUGGCACAGCAGGAACAAUGUUGGCAGUUCAUUGUGUCAAACAGGCACUGGUGCCAUGGCCAGCACUGGGAGGUCUCAUGAAGUGCUAACCACGGUGCCCGCACAGGCCAGAGUAGAGCAGGAUUAUGAGCAGAGUCAGAGCCAGAGGCCCAGAGGAGAACAUGCCCAGACCAUGAGUGCCUCCUGUCCUCUGCUGCUCACCUGGAGACAUGUUCCACGUUCUCCAAGAGCUCUUAUAAAAAGAUAAGUGAUCAGAGUAACUCCAGGCUGGCUGUACUUCAGGGUAUCACGCUGACAACAGCCUCGUUGACACCAUGGGCAGGGCACAGCAGGCACAGUGUUGGCAGUUCCCUGUGUCACACACGCAUUGGAGACAUGAUGGCCGUAGGGACGUAAUAAAAAGAGCUUCUCGCUGCUGCGAGCCCAGGCCAGAAAAAACAGGAUGGUGAGCAGAGUCAGAGGUAAGAGGCCAGGAGAGAUGGCAUGGAAGGGAAUGUCUAAGACCUGGGAAGGGCGGCAGGCGUGUGUCUGAUGCUCCAGACUGUGUGUCCUGUUGCUUUGUCUUGGACAGCCAGAGGCCCAGAGGAGAACAUGCCCAGACCAUGAGUGCCUCCUGUCCUCUGCUGCUCACCUGGAGACGUCUUCCACUUUCUCCAAAAGCUCUCAUAAAAAGAUAAGUGAUCAGAGUAACACCAGGCUGGCUGUACUUCUGGGCAUCAGCUCAUGGCAACGGCCAUAGUUGUGUCAUGGGCAUGGCACAGUGGAACAAUGUUGGCAGUUCAUUGUGUCAAACAGGCAUUGGUGCCAUGGCCAGCCAAUAAUGGGAGGUCACAUGAAGUGCUGAACCCAUUUGCCUGCAAAGGCCAGAGGAGAGCAGGAUAGUGAGCAGAUUCAGAGGUAAGAGGGCAGAGAGAUGGCAUGGAAAAUGGGAUGGUCUGGGACCUGCCCAUGGAGGCAGAGAGAGCUGUGAUGCUAGAGAUUGUGUGUCCUCUGUCUUGGACGGCCAGAGGCCCAGAGGAGAACAUGCCCAGACCAUGAGUGCCUCCUGUCCUCUGCUGCUCACCUGGAGACAUGUUCCACCUUACACAAGGACACUGAUCCAAAGAUAAGUGAUCAGACAAAACCACCAGGCUGGCUGUACUGGGCAUCAGCUGCUGGCAACUGCCUUGGUGAUGCCAUGGGCAUGGCACAGCAGGCACGAUAUUUGCAGAUCUUUGUGUCAAACACGC